AUCCAAUGUGAUUCGUGUGCUUAUAUGAUUUCCUUGAAUGUGAUUUGGAACGACUUCCUAAAUCUCAUUCAUACUCUGGCCAGAGAUUCUAAAUCAUAUCAUAGAGUAUUCUCCCCCAAAUGGUUUGAAGGUUAGAGAUCCCUUGUUGCACAUUCACUUGCCUCCAUAGCUAAGUGGCUUAACCCCAACGAUGCCGUGGACACCCGCGGAUGGGUUGACUUUGGCAUAAUCAAAGAUCAGGGACUUAACCACAAGACAGAUGUGAUGCCUCAGGUCAAAGGACUACUUUGCAUUAUCCCAACCAUGAGUUCUCAUGUGACAUGAAUAUGAGAACUCUUCGUUGAUCGUGUUCAGUGAACUCAUUCUCUAUUAAGCACCUACGUACUUGUCUUGAUGUCACACACACCAAUGACUCGAGACUAGUCACUCUCCCUGAGAGAAGACAC
rnacentral:lncRNA from 1 species